GAUGAACGCUGGCGGCAUGCCUAACACAUGCAAGUCGGACGGGAACCCCGGGAAACGGUGUUUCUAGUGGCGGCCGGGUGAGUAACGCGUAAGAACAUGCCCUUGGGUGGGGAACCACAGCUGGAAACGGCUGCUAAUACCCCGUAGGCUGAGGUGCAAAAGAGGGAAUACAUCAGAGGAGUGGCUCGCGUCUGGUUAGCUAGUUGGUGAGGCAGUAGCUUACUAAGGCGCUGGACAGUAGCUGGUCGGAGAGGAUGAUCGUCCACACUGGGACGGAGGCACGGCGCAGGGAACAACGGGAAGCAGGAGUGAGGAAGUUUCCGCAAUGGGGGGAGGGUGAAGAAGGCAAUGCGGCUGGAAGGUAGAAUGCUUACGGAACGAGAACUUCUUGUCCCGGAGAAGAAGUAAUGACGGUACCUGAAGAAUAAGCAUCGGCUAACUCCGUG
rnacentral:rRNA from 1 species